CAGCCGCCACGGUAAAACGUAGGUGGCAAGCGUUGUCCGGAAUUAUUGGGCGUAAAGGGCUCGCAGGCGGUUUCUUAAGUCUGAUGUGAAAGCCCCCGGCUCAACCGGGGAGGGUCAUUGGAAACUGGGAAACUUGAGUGCAGAAGAGGAGAGCGGAAUCCACGUGUAGCGGUGAAAUGCGUAGAGAUGUGGAGGAACACCAGUGGCGAAGGCGACUCUCUGGUCUGUAACUGACGCUGAGGAGCGAAAGCGUGGGGAGCGAACAGGAUUAGAUACCCGAGUAGUCCCUGUCUCUUAUACA
rnacentral:rRNA from 1 species